AUUGAACGCUGGCGGCAGGCCUAACACAUGCAAGUCGAACGAGUGGCGGACGGGUGAGUAAUGUCUGGGAAACUGCCCGAUGGAGGGGGAUAACUACUGGAAACGGUAGCUAAUACCGCAUACCAUCGGAUGUGCCCAGAUGGGAUUAGCUAGUAGGGGGGGUAACGGCUCACCUAGGCGAAGAUCCCUCGCUGGUCUGAGAGGAUGACCAGCCACACGGGAAUGGAGACAGGGUCCAGACUCCUGCGGGAGGCAGCAGUGGUGAAUAUUGCACAAUGGGCGCAAGCCUGAUGCAGCCAUGCCGCGUGUAUGAAGAAGGCCUUCGGGUUGUAAAGUACUGUCAGCGAGGAGGCGUUACUCGCAGAAGAAGCACCGGCUAACUACGUGCCAGCAGCCGCGGUAAUUC
rnacentral:rRNA from 1 species